ensembl:lncRNA
CUUGGUGAAGGAAGAAAGCUCCUUUGUAAGGAAGAAAAUUUCCCUGCAGGAGCUUUCUCUGCAGCACUUCUUUCACUUAGCCGUGGAGGAGCUGGUGUGUGCUGGCUCCAUCAGUGUUUGUUUUGAGUCACAGCGGUGCUCUGUGGGCCUGGCAUUUCAAAGCCUUGCACUGUUGCCUUUACAGCGCACGGUAGAUUUGCCUGGAGGAGAACAUUGCACAGGCGUAUGCUGAAGUGUGACUCCAAAACACUGCAUCUAAUAUUGUCCGAGACCCCUGCAAAAUAUAAUGAGAAAGGAGUAUGCAUCUGGUCUGUUCCCUAGACUAGCGGUGGCUGUUAGGCAGGUUACUACAAGCUGAUGGAAUUAAAUAGUUUGGAAGUCCUGGUGUAACUAUUGAUUUUUAAUUUCUUUUUUUUUGUUGAGACAGUCCUGGUCUAGGCAGGCAAACAAGGGAAGCGGAGGCCUUUGUGAGCUCUCAUGACGAUGAGCAGAACAGCCAGGGCAUCCGCAUGCACAUGGCUGGUACUUCUCAGACCCUGCAGCCGAGUCCUGUUGCCCCUGCUGUGUUCUUGGAAGUCCCUUCUCUAAACCAGGAGGAGGGAAAGGUGCUCUCAGUGCUUCAGCUCCCAGGCUGCCUUUAGUGCAUGUAAUUAGUGAGGAACAAAGGUUGGUAUCUUCCAUAGUCACGGGCAUUAAUGAAGAAGUCAUCUGCUUAAUGGGGGACAUGCAUGUGAAACUGUUUCAUCUAUGUGGUCGACUGGGUGCUUUUUAUGUAUAUUAACCUGCAAAUGUGUAGUAGGUGGUAAAAUUUAUGAGCGCUAUAACCAUUUUUAUCAAGUGUGCCCUUUAAAAUCAGGGGGUUUUUAUGAGUGUUACAUGCAUAUGUUCGUUAUUGUUCAAUCUCUGCUCACCCUUUGCCUUAGUGGGAGGGAGGGGAAAGAGAAAUUAAGGCCUGAAGAGAAGAUUUAGUUCGUUGAAUAAAAGUUUCAGGUCUGCAGAUUGGCUGGUGUUUAAGGUUGUAUAAUCCAGCGGAGAGGAAUUUGGAGGAGGACGUGGCCAUUCAAUUCUAAAUGCCUGAAUAUAAUGUUAAAAUAAAACAUGUAUCAAAUAGGUCAUAGCUUGCUACAGCUGGAUGGGGAUCUAAUGUCCUUGCCAGAAUCUAACUCAGUGCAGGAAGAAGACACAGAUGUUGAGAUGCACUGGACUGAUGUUCAGAAGAAGGAAGUUGUAACUGGACCCUUCCAUCUACAUCUUGGUGCUCAUGCAGGGAUCACGUGGGAUGGGAUUCUCACAGAUGUAGGUGGGACACAAAACUUAGAGUAGUGCAGGGGGAGGAUAUCCAUGCUCAGUUGCAAGCCUUGGAUCAUUCCUCAUUACCAUCAGUGCUUGGUAUGUUCUUAUGCCUGUUUUCCUCUUUUGAUUCCAAGCUUCCUUUUCCUAUUAUAAAGUCUUUUUUUUCUCCCCUCCUUAAAAAAAAAAAAGAAAAAGAAAAGCUGCUGUUAGGAUUAUGUCCUAUUACUUAAAGUGCUUGUUCUGCUCCAUGUACACAUAAAUUUAAUUAUAUUGGCCAUAUGAAAGAUGCAUGAAGGUUCAGUUUUGGGAGGUAUGCCAAAGAUAGCUCCUGAACGUGUGGCUGUUUGAUGUAGGCUUGUGCGUAGUAAUUGAAUUACUGAUCAAGCACUCUAUCAAUGAAAUAAUCUUGGUAAAUUCCGUGUACUUAAGUAACUAUAGCCUCGAGGCUGUGGUAAGUGGAGUAACCUUGUUAUUGAUUUUGUUGUUGAUUAUUCAUAUCUUAUACUUUCUAAUAGGAGCACCCUUUUCUGUGUUCCUAUUAAACGCAGCGGUUCCUGCGUCCUUCAGAAGUGAGAUUUAUCUUCCAAUCACUUGCAAAGGACUUUUGUAACUGCUCAUACGAGGGACUUCUCAGAUGUCCUUCUCAUAGCCCCACUACUGCUCAGCCACAGGGAAUCCUGCUGCAGUGCUGCUCUGCUUUAAUGCUCUCUCCUGUGGCCCUUGUGGAAUAGAAAAAGUAGGGCAUUCUCUAAUUCUUCUCACUACUUUCCACACAGAAAGUCCUUGCUCUAAUUCUGUUGUGCUUUUGUAGGAAAGUCAGUUUACGUCUUCUCCAUCGCUUCUUCCAUCUGUCCUUAUCUGCCCUUAUAUCGUGAGGGAGACUGAAGGUUGCUCUCAGGACCCAUCAACUCCAUGAAGCUGAGUCAUGUAUCGUACGCAGUGGUAAGUUGCUUGAUGGGCCUUCGUUACAGAGCCAGUCUGAGUCCCAAGGUGAGAUCUGAGCACUAAUUUGACACUUCUCUUAAAGCAACGCUGUGUACUUCACCCUUGUCAAUACUAGAUGUGUCUUGUAUUAUGAAUGGCAAUAAUAUAAAUGAUUGAUUAAGGUUAUUCCAAGAAUUUAAUAUAGGCAUCACAUGUGAACUCUUAUGGUAUGGCAUCAGCAAGAAAAGCAGUUUCAAAAGUGGACUCAGAUCUCAUGUCCCAAAAUGCAUGAUUUACGAAACGUACUUUGUUGGUUUGUUUUGGUGUUCUAGAGGCUGAGAAUCUUGAAGAAAAUGUCUGACUACUUGAAAUCAUUCCUUGUUCACUUCGUUAUCCAUAGUGUUGUUGCAAGUUGGAUCUGACGUGCUCCUUGAGCAGCUGUAGUCCCUGGUGGCGUGUUGCAGUAAUUUCUUUAUGUGUUCAGGAGGUGUUCCAGUGAAACUGAACCUCUGCAUCAUGCUCAAGAGGUAAAGCACAGGGACCUGGCUGUGCUAGGGGACAGUAUUGAGAGGCUGGCUCACAGGCCAGUGAGUGGGUGGGGAGCUGAGUGACCGCUAUUCAGGUUUCAUGAACUAAAGCUUGCUUGUGAGUGAGAGCUGUGUGAUCACUGAAUUAAAUCCCUUGGUGUCUGGAGUCUCCUGGCAAGAGCUCAGUAGGUCCUGGGCUGUGCAGCCUGGCUUGAGAGGGAGGAGGAAUGUUGGGGGGUUAUGAUGAGACUUGUAAGCAUCGCAGCCCUAUCCAUGGACAAUCUCACUUCACUUUGUGUAUUGUCGUUGUCCUUUCCAACAGCUGCAUCUUUCAAAACUGGAAGAUCAGUAUUUUUCUCUUCAUUUUGAGUUUUGAUAUUAUUUUUUUUCAUUUAAGGAGAAAUAAAAUCAAAAUAAGUGAUUAUCUGGCAUUAGUAUGCUUCCACUAACUGCUGCUGUCCACGUUUCUAAGAACUGUAAUGCAAAUCCCCUGCUAGCAAGAAGAAUUCGUUGUUCCCCACUGUUUGUUCUUUGAUCCGUAUUAGGGCUGAUGUGUGAAACAAAGGAAGGAGGAAUGUUUGAUUUCUCUUAAACUUGGGCGACCCUACAAAAGAGACAGUAGAAACAAGGUCUUUGCUAAUAAACUGAGCAGAAGUGAUGUAAAUACUUCUGAACAUCAGAUUCUAGAUAGUGAUCAAGCAAACUGAACACAGUGGCUGUUUGUUCUUUGAUGUUUGAGGUGGGAAAAGCCAACGUUUGACAUCACGUUGAAAAAAUACUGCCCUGUUUCUUGUCCCUGAUAGCAGGUGGUGCAGGAACUCGACCUUCAAACCGUUUUGUCACCUUCUGUUCUUCCCAUAAACCAGUUUUUUGUGGCGUUCUGCCUUGAUGUGAUUAAACUACAGCUUCAUUCACUUAUUUUGUUUCCCGUGAAACAGAGCAGCACAAGGAUGGCAGAAAACAGCUGUGUGAGGCUGUAGCGUAGAACUGAUCGUAUCACAGGAUGUCUCAUCUUCCUGAACACGGGUGAAGAUCUGAAUCUCAAGUGUCAUUCAGCACCCACCCUCACCCCGCUUCCAGAAACUUAUAGCAGGUCUAUUUUCUCUAGUACUUCCGUCUCCCAGCAUAUGGCACACAUUUCUUGCUCAGCUCUCCUCCAUCCCCAGCAUUUCUGGCUGCUGUGAGGAUGCCGGGUCUCAGCAGAGUGCGUUGGCUUUGCAGCAGCUGCAAUCCAGUUUUCUGCUCUUGCUCUCUGCUGUACUGAGGGAGAGUGGCAAAGGUGAUGGUCUGGGGACUGCUACUUAGACACCAAGCAGAGGCCAAUAACAAAGAUGCAUUUAUAGUUAUUUUUAUGCAGUGCUGUGGCCGAUACAAAUUUCUGAAGUCUGUACAGUGCUUUUCACCCAGGGUAAUUGAUGUACAGGCUCUGUCAGACCUUUCAAAUCAGCAGUGCCUCGGGCUUGGUGGUGCUGUCUCUUCCCUUUACCCCUAGCUUUUCUCAGUCUCAUGCAGUUCAAUACUUGCAUCUCCCUCAUUUCUGCUGUGCCGUUUGGCUCCAGUUGUGCUAAAGCCCAGAGGCCAAUCCAUUAUGAAAAUCAGCUAGUAGCAGCAGCAGGCACCAUUAGCUAAAGAGCAGCUUUCUGCCACAGGGAAACAUCCCUAUGUCACACAGUCCUGGAAGGGAGUGGUCAUGCAGCUUCCUCUGAGCCUCUGUUGGCCAUCAGGGAAGGAGAUGAUACAAGAUGUGUGCCCUCUUCAUUGCACCUGUCCUGUUGUUUAGGAGAGAGAUCGCUCCCUCUGCAGGUAGGCAGUGUUGCUUUUGCAACGUGGAAGUCAAUUUUCUGGUAGUCAAUCAGAUUUUGAUUGAGUGCUUUUCAGGUCAUGAGAUGUAAUUCUAAUAGCAGCCAAUUAUCUGUUUUAAAAGAUGCCUCUUAAAAAGGACCUCUUCUCAAAAGGCUUUGAAGAUCUCUAAGCUCCUAACAGGCUGCAUUCUUUUAGUAAAAUGAAAGCAGAAUUCCCUAUUGCCUCCCACCCAGAGGAGAUGAAGGGGAGAUGCCCAUGAAGAUGAACUCUGCCUCCUCUUUGGGAGCAUGGUGAAGGACUGCACAGAGCUGGCACUGCUGGGGCACCCCCUGCACUGGACACAGUUGUGAAUUGAGGAUGAAUAUCACUGAUAAAAUGGAGGUCAACAACUGAACGGCAUCUCGUGGAAAAGAUUCGGAGGUGACCUCAAAACCAAACCUGUCUGAAGGUUUUCGUGGGGCUGGAAUCAGUGGAUGCUGAAGUAGCUCUUAGCUGUGCCAGGAGGCCUCUUAGCGACCAGCACUUAUACAGGCUCACACAUCUCCCACAUCGAAAUCGGCAUUCUUGGAUCCGCUGAGUUUUGAUCCACAGUGAGAUAAGGCCUAAGGGAACUCUCUCUGGAGUGUAUUUCAUUUUGUUCUCUGAAUCAAGAGACGGAGCCCAAAGCAAGACCUGUGGAUAUGAAGAAAUGGGCUCUGAAAGCGCCUGUCCCACACGUCCCUGCUGUUUGAGUGCUUUUCAGCCAAGAGACCAUCUCGGACCAGAUGAACUUUGGGAUGGAGAUUGUCCCUCCUCCAUUCUUCUGGUGGACUCUUUAUUGACCUUCCUGUGGGGAAGCAUCCUAUUAGGGGGGUCUUUGACCCACCCUCCAAGAAAAGCAGGAGACACGGUGAAGCCUGUGCUGGUGGCAGUCACAAGAAGAGCUGUCUGUGCUCAGGUGGCUUCCAGGGCUGUCUGUGCUCAGGGAAAGGAAACAUCCUCCAUUGUUUCUCCCCUAUAUUUGACUGAAACGAAGCUGCCCGCCUGCACAGCGGUACCCACCUCUGAAUAGUUUGCUAUUCUGGGCCCUGUGCAAUUUGGAGACUGACAACUUACCUUAACUGUUGGAGCACCAACCACUUCACAGAGCUCUCCCAGGCACUGCAGUCCCUGCUUCCUGCAUGGAAAGCAUCACCGAUACCAAGCAAGUGGAGAGGGCGGCCUUUCAUAGGAUCAUAGCCUUCAGGACUCUGGGGUGCCACAACUCCUGUUUGAAACAUAUAAUUGCUGUGGCAUUCAGUGCAACUGACGACAGGGAAGCUCGAACCUGGCAACUGCUACCUUAAAAAGUAAUAGAAGAAGGAAGCAAAAACCCCUGGGGAAGCUGUGCAUACAUAGCAAAGGAGGAGCAAUGGGCUUGCAUUGGUAAACUGCUCCAUAGGGCACCCAUUCAGUGCUAUAAAGAAGGCAUCCAGGCUGUGUGUUUCCCAGCUCCUGCAGCGGUAGGAUGGACCAUGAGUGUGCAUAGGAAGGUGCGUGAAGGCAGGCUAUGCUUUCCUGGGCCAGUUCUCUCCCUCUGAGGCUGCUCCGUGCAGAGCCAGCAGUGUGUGCAGCACUGACCAACGUGGUAUUUGAGAGCUUGAGAUCUCACCGUCUACCUUCUCUUUCCAAUUGCCCUCCCACUGUUGUUCUACAGCAUGCGGUGCCUUCAGCCGUGGUUCAGCUGCCAAAGAAGGUGGGGGAGUGCUGUGCUCCCCAGCUCCAUGCGGACCGGGAGAGAGGCAGAGAAACAGAGGAGGUGGGUGCUUUUCUGCAGGUAAUGAAAGCGAUCAGCUGGCUGCCCAUGCAGCACAGCCCUCCUGCCCUCCCCAGUCCUGCUCCCUGCCUUGCCAGGAGCGCACUUGGGUAGAAAGGUCUGAAAAAUCAGGACAGCUUCUAUUCUAUGGGAACAAAAGGUUUCCUUUGUUGUAAUUCCUCUGUUGGGCUCUGCACGAGGCCCUCGCAUGGGGCCCUGCAGCACGUGCCCUGCAUCAUGGGGACAAAAGCAGAUUACUGCAGGGAUGCCUGAAAAGGAGCCAUGACUUGUUCCCUUGUUGCUACAAUCUUGUUUACAGGCUGAGCUUCGCAGGGAGCAAUUCACACAGGUUUCUUUUGCAUUAUAAUAGUAAAGAUUUUUCUUGGUGGGAGAAAAAAAAGAGGAGAGAGGGUGAGGUGAGGAUUUAUCACAGAGCCUUGCCUGAAAUGAUUUAGGCUGUUAAGACCAUUUAUGCUGAAGGAAGUGAUCAGUUUCUGCUUCCCAAACGUCGUCUCCCAGUGCCGUGGGCCUGAUUCAGCAGGGCAGCUCCAUGUGAAGAGAAACGAAGUUGAUGAAGUAUUAGGAGGAGAUGACGGCAGCUAAAGGGGAGUUCAGUGGUUGUCCUUCACUUUUGUCUUCUGUCUUUUCAAGCUUAAGGCAGCAACUUCCAAAAUUCUUCGUGAGCCAAUCAGAGCACUGAUGGAGGGAACACCUUCAGCCACUGCACCUUAACAGCCACCUCGAGUGGCCCUGUGCUGGGUUUUUAAUCAUAUGAUGGCUUUUAAUUGAUGCUUUCUGUAAUAAACGAGGGGCUGCUGUGUUUUCACUGGGUUAUUCACUUGCUUCUGUAGUAGCUUUCAGUUGCAUGAUGCACAAACGGAGUGCAGCCUUCAGAAGUGACCCGUGGGACUUGAGGGCUGAUCCACUGCUACUGAAACGGUAGGACCAAAUUCUGCUGCCUGCUGGAUGCUGGGCCUCAAAGCAGGGAUGCAGAGAGGUGUAGAAAGCAGCAGUGCUCCCUGCUGAGCUCCGUGCAUGGGGCUGCUGCUCAUGGCUGGUGGGACAAAGCACUGCAGUGCAGACUGUGCUGCUGAACGCCAACAUAGGCUGAGCACUGGGGGGGCUGCAGCUCCUUUGAGGGCAGGUAGAGGACUUCCAUUUUAUUUUACUUUCCUUUCCCCUUUCCCCUCCUUUCCUUUUUCCUUUCCGUUUUCCUUUCCCCUCCUUUCCUUUUUCCUUACCGUUUUCCUUUCCCCUCCUUUCCUUUUUCCUUUCCCCUCCUUUCCUUUCCCCUUUCCCCUCCUGUCCUUUUUCCUUUCCCCUUUCCCCUCCUGUCCUUUCCCCUCCUGUCCUUUUUCCUUUCCAUUCCCCUUUCCCUUUCCCCUCCUGUCCUUUUUCCUUUUUCCUUUUCUUUUCCCUUUCCUUUUUCCCUUCCCCUUUCCCCUCCUGUCCUUUUCCUUUUUCCCUUUCCUUUUUCCCUUUCCUUUUUCC